UACGAAGGGGGCUAGCGUUGCUCGGAAUCACUGGGCGUAAAGCGCACGUAGGCGGCUUUUUAAGUCAGGGGCGAAAUCCUGGAGCUCAACUCCAGAACCGCCUUUGAUACUGAGAAGCUUGAGUCCGGGAGAGGUGAGUGGAACUGCGAGUGUAGAGGUGAAAUUCGUAGAUAUUCGCAAGAACACCAGUGGCGAAGGCGGCUCACUGGCCCGGUACUGACGCUGAGGUGCGAAAGCGUGGGGAGCAAACAGG
rnacentral:rRNA from 1 species